rnacentral:rRNA from 1 species
CCUACGGGAGGCUGCAGUCGAGAAUCAUUCACAAUGGGGGAAACCCUGAUGGUGCGACGCCGCGUGGGGGAAUGAAGGUCUUCGGAUUGUAAACCCCUGUCAUGUGGGAGCAAAUUAAAAAGAUAGUACCACAAGAGGAAGAGACGGCUAACUCUGUGCCAGCAGCCGCGGUAAUACAGAGGUCUCAAGCGUUGUUCGGAAUCACUGGGCGUAAAGCGUGCGUAUGCUGUUUCGUAAGUCGUGUGUGAAAGGCGCGGGCUCAACCCGCGGACGGCACAUGAUACUGCGAGACUAGAGUAAUGGAGGGGGAAGCGGAAUUCUCGGUGUAGCAGUGAAAUGCGUAGAUAUCGAGAGGAACACUCGUGGCGAAGGCGGGUUCCUGGGACGGUUCUGACACUAAGGCACGAAAGCGUAGGGAGCAAACGGGAUUAGAUACCCCGGUAGUC